UUAUGCUGAAGGGGAAACCACUGUGUGAAUGAUGCUUAUAAAACCAUAUUUGGUUCAGGGACAAGAUUGAUGGUUCAACCAAAUAUUACGGAUUCGGACCCUUCUGUCUACCAACUGAAGCCGAAAGAUAAAGAAAUGGAGACAGACCAAAGCGCUCAGAAAGAGAUUGGCGUGUGCCUCUUCACGGAUUAUUUCCCUGACAAGCUCCAAGUGGGGAUCAAUAAAAAUACACAGUCGACCAAUAGCUCUUUGGUUGUGGUGAAAGAGAAUGAAUAUGACGAGAAAGGAACGGCCAGCUAUGGGAUCGUGUUGUGGGGUACCUUGGACGAUGAGUUUCAUUGCAAUGCAGUUAUGAAUGGAAAAACCUUUGAAACAAAUCCAGAAGAUGCAGGCACCUGUUCAGCAGAGGAUGAAAAGCCAGUUUUUGAAGCAGAUGAGAGGUCAAAUCUCCUGUCCCUCUCUGUCUUGGGCCUGAGAAUCAUCUUCAUCAAGACGAUUGCCUUCAAUGUGCUGUUCACCUUCCGCGUGUAUUCACGAAGAGGUCGGAAAUGAAAAACAAAAGGAGGAACAUGGUGGGGAUGGUGUAGAAGAAAUUUCCGAAUAGGCAUUUACCCCACCUUCUUGAAAUUUGGGUGCAAACGUAGAGAAAGACAUUGGCAUCACGCUGGAGAGAACCAUAUGCAUUCCUUCUCUUUUUUCUUUUUCCAGCUAGAUACGGCUGUUUUUUAUUGGGACAACGUCUGCAUUUCUGCUUCUUUGCACAAGAAUAUUCAGAGGGGUGGGGGAAGCUGGCAAGCUAACUUGAUGAUGGUAAGCCGCCUUGGGCCCUUCUAAGGAGAAAGGCGGGGUCACGAGAUUUUAAAUAAAUACAACAAUAAAUUUCCUGCUUUGUUUUAUUCUACUCUGCCACACUUUCAAUAUAAUCUACUGUAUAAAAUAGUAUGCUUUAUAUUUUACCAAAUAUUAAAAAAAGAUGUUUAUAUUUGAA